rnacentral:rRNA from 1 species
UAGUUUGAUCCUGGCUCAGAAGUCGUAACAAGGUAACCGUAGAGUUUGAUCCUGGCUCAGCAGAUGCAGAUAACCUUCGCGAUCACCCACCAAGUCGUAAUAAUGUAACCGUAA